CCUACGGGAGGCAGCAGUGAGGAAUAUUGGUCAAUGGGCGAAAGCCUGAACCAGCCAUGCCGCGUGCAGGAAGACGGCUCUAUGGGUUGUAAACUGCUUUUGUACGAGAGUAAACACAGAUACGUGUAUCUGCUUGAAAGUACCGUACGAAUAAGGAUCGGCUAACUCCGUGCCAGCAGCCGCGGUAAUACGGAGGAUCCAAGCGUUAUCCGGAUUUAUUGGGUUUAAAGGGUGCGUAGGCGGUUUAGUAAGUCAGCGGUGAAAGUUUGGUGCUCAACCCCAACAGUGCAGUUGAUACUGAGGGGCUAGAGUGUAGUUGAGGUAGGCGGAAUGCAUGGUGUAGCGGUGAAAUGCGUAGAGAUCAUGAAGAACACCGAUUGCGAAGGCAGCCUACUAAACU
rnacentral:rRNA from 1 species